rnacentral:rRNA from 1 species
ACGGAGGGUGCAAGCGUUGUUCGGAAUUAUUGGGCGUAAAGCGCGUGUAGGCGGUUGCCUAAGUUUGGUGUGAAAGCCCGGGGCUUAACUCCGGAAGUGCACUGAAUACUGGGCGACUAGAGGACGAGAGAGGAAAGUGGAAUUCCUGGUGUAGGGGUGAAAUCCGUAGAUAUCAGGAGGAACAUCGGUGGCGAAGGCGGCUUUCUGGCUCGUAUCUGACGCUGAGACGCGAAAGCGUGGGGAGCAAACAG